rnacentral:rRNA from 1 species
CCUACGGGUGGCAGCAGUCGAGAAUCAUUCACAAUGGGGGAAACCCUGAUGGUGCGACGCCGCGUGGGGGAAUGAAGGUCUUCGGAUUGUAAACCCCUGUCAUGUGGGAGCAAAUUAAAAAGAUAGUACCACAAGAGGAAGAGACGGCUAACUCUGUGCCAGCAGCCGCGGUAAUACAGAGGUCUCAAGCGUUGUUCGGAAUCACUGGGCGUAAAGCGUGCGUAGGCUGUUUCGUAAGUCGUGUGUGAAAGGCGCGGGCUCAACCCGCGGACGGCACAUGUUACUGCGAGACUAGAGUAAGGGAGGGGGAACCGGAAUUCUCGGUGUAGCAGUGAAAUGCGUAGAUAUCGAGAGGAACACUCGUGGCGAAGGCGGGUUCCUGGACAUUAACUGACGCUGAGGCACGAAGGCCAGGGGAGCGAAAGGGAUUAGAUACCCUUGUAGUC